rnacentral:lncRNA from 1 species
UAACAACAAACAACUUUAUAAUAUAAUGUAAUUGUCUUAAUACAAGAGUUAAUAUAAUUUCAUAGUUUUGGAGCACUAACUCGACACAAAAGGAAGAUACAAAUUACAACCAAAAAGGCAGGUUCGGAAGGUUCAACAAAAGUAACCUGCUAUCAAGCUAUAAGCCUGAAAAGGAUAAAUAAUGAGAGGGUGAGUUCAACAACUCAGUGAGUAGAUAACGUUCAAUAUACAUACACGAGGUAAUUAUAGCAAUGAGAAAUAUAUAUACAAGUAUGGCUUUAGUUCUUAUACGAAGGUUUAUCAAAUAGGCCAUAACAAGAAUAUCAUAUGGUAAAACUCGUCAGAAAAUCAAAAUGCAAUGAGCAUGAGGCUCCGUACUGUGGGAUGAUCAGUCCACACAGGUUGGUGACUCCCCCGACCAACUAGGGUUCAGAUACGAUGUGCACAAAGACUAACACUACCCUGUUAGCAUGGGUAUUCUGACUGACAUACCAUAGGUUCAUAAUCAUAAUCAAACAAACAUAUUCAUAUCUCAAAGCUCAACUCAUGACAUCCAUCAAAUGAGGAGCUAUCAAUUCAGAAGUCAAAUCAUAUUGGUUCAUAUCAAGAAAUCAGAUUCAAUAAUUGAUCAUGCUUUAUCAUAUCAAGGAUAAUAAUCAGCAUAUAUAUUAUCAAGAAGCAUGAUCCAAUUCAUAUUAACAAAUCAAAUAUUUAUAAUAUUUCUCAUGCAUAUGGAAAAUUAUCCACUCACCUGACUCAAAAGCAAACAACACACACAAGCUGAAACCGAAGGAAAUUCUACUGACGUCCUGCCGGUAGAAUAUC